rnacentral:rRNA from 1 species
UACGUAGGGUGCAAGCGUUGUCCGGAAUUAUUGGGCGUAAAGAGCUUGUAGGCGGUUUGUCGCGUCUGCUGUGAAAUUUCGGGGCUCAACCCCGAACUUGCAGUGGGUACGGGCAGACGAGAGUGUGGUAGGGGAGACUGGAAUUCCUGGUGUAGCGGUGAAAUGCGCAGAUAUCAGGAGGAACACCGAUGGCGAAGGCAGGUCUCUGGGCCAUAACUGACGCUGAGAAGCGAAAGCAUGGGGAGCGAACAGG